AGUAGAUACGCGAAGCUAUAACGGUACACAUGUUGCACACGGACUCUGCGCUCCUACGUUGAAAUACGGCGUGUCUCGCGUUUCGAUCUUAUAAACUAAUCAGCAGGUAGUCUAAAGAA